AGCUUUUUCCUUUUUACAGUAUUUCCUUACCGAUUGCAGUAAUGGACUAGGGUUCUGCUAGUGACCAGUUUUCAGUUUUGUAGGGAGAUGUGACUCAUUAAAAAAAACCCCAAGCUCAAGCAAAGUCAGCAGGACCAGGGGUGCUUAGGAGGUGUGGCCAAUUGAUAAUGAGCUGGCUGCUGAUUACUGUGCUCUAGGAGCUAGAAAUUUCAUUUACAGAAAAGUGGUUGGGGGGACUGUGGUGCUUUCUGCACUUAAACCCAGCACAUGUGUUUGUCUGUUGAGUUCUUGGCUAGCCUGGGCUACAUGAGUUCAGGAAAGCCAAAGAUACACAGUGAGACCUUAUCUG
rnacentral:lncRNA from 1 species